CCCUGAGAAGUGGAAUUUUGCACCAACCAUAGGAGUUGUGGAAGAUGUUCCCAAUUUCCGUGAUUGGGUAGACAAGCUGUUGAAGAUUGCACCAAUGGAUGGUAGAUCUUGGAAGACCCUUUCCCAACGAUUUGGUUGGAAAGUAAAAACUCAUGGAUUUGCUAUUCGAGGAGUUAUUGCCGAGGUGGUCGCG